rnacentral:lncRNA from 1 species
AAGAAAGACAUGCAUGCACGUUUAUGUAUAUUAUAUUAUUAUUAUAUCAUUGGAUGCAUUAAUGGAUAGGCAUAAGCUGAUCCAAUACACACAUUAUGCAGGCUGCUGUAUACACCUUGUUACAUUUACGUUCUUAUUUCAAACGUACAGCAGCACCUGGACGGCUUGACGUUACCAUCACAAACUGGUUUAUAGUACCGAUAGCCGUGGGAUUUGGACUUGGCACGGCAUGAAGCAUCGCACAAUGGUGGUUUUGUUUUGUCGUGGCAGUCAUAUGCUACGUCGUUGCACUCCGUCCUGUACUCUGCACGUACACACAUGCAGAAUGCAAUCAGCCAUCACAUAUGCACAUCCGAGAUUUUUAAUAAUUAGUACGAACACGCUAGGCAUGCAUGCAUGCUAAUUUUUCGUGUACCAGCAGCAAAGGUAGACACGAAAAGAGAGGACACGAGCAGCAGACCAACAAACACAGCAGCACCCAUGGAGUGCACGCUGCUGCUGCUGCUGCUUCUUGUGUUGAUGAUGAGUGCCAUUGCUAGUAGCUAGGAUGACUCGAUCUGAGAGUGCUGCCCGAUGCACAAGCUAGCUAUGCCGAUGGUAAUACGGUGCUUAUAUAGAAGCAGGCUGUUA